ACGCCGCGUGGGGGAAGAAGGCMUCUGGGCUGUAAACCCCUUUUCUCAAGGAAGAAGACCUGACGGUACUUGAGGAAUAAGCCACGGCUAAUUCCGUGCCAGCAGCCGCGGUAAUACGGGAGUGGCAAGCGUUAUCCGGAAUUAUUGGGCGUAAAGCGUCCGCAGGCGGCCUUGUAAGUCUGCUGUCAAAGCGUGGAGCUUAACUCCAUAUCGGCAGUGGAAACUGUAAGGCUUGAGUGUGGUAGGGGCAGAGGGAAUUCCCGGUGUAGCGGUGAAAUGCGUAGAUAUCGGGAAGAACACCAGUGGCGAAGGCGCUCUGCUGGGCCAUCACUGACGCUCA
rnacentral:rRNA from 1 species